rnacentral:misc_RNA from 1 species
UUGUGGAGGAGGACGCCGAAGGUGGGGCUAAUGACUGGGGUGAAGUCGUAACAAGGUAGCCGUACCGGAAGGUGCGGCUGGAUCACCUCCUAACAGGGAGACAACAAAAUGUUAAAUAUUAAUUUUGUCACCUUAGGUCGAUCGGUAUCUCACAUCCUUAAAUUUAUUAAGGAUUUUAUUUCCUAAGUUUUUUCUAGGUCACACCCAUUACUUUUCCUGGGCCAUUAGCUCAGGUGGUUAGAGCGCACCCCUGAUAAGGGUGAGGUCCCUGGUUCAAGUCCAGGAUGGCCCAUAUCUCUAUGUUGGGGGUAUAGCUCAGUUGGUAGAGCGCCUGCUUUGCAAGCAGGAUGUCAGCGGUUCGGGUCCGCCUACCUCCACUGAUCACCACCUCUUCCAUAAAUUUCAUAGAAGGGAAAUGUUUUGAGUUGUGAUCAAAUUCUGAACGAAUCUAGCUUCCUAAUAAAACUUAUUAAGAUGCUGGACUCAUUGAAUUAAUUUCAUUGUUUUCAGAGAACCUUGACAACUGCAUAGAUUAUUUUUAAAGACAAUAAGCAUCUUUAGUGAUGCAGAUUUUUUAUUUAUGCGAAUGCAUUAAUAACAAUUCUAUUAAGCUGAUGCUUCAAUUUUGAAGUUAUUGGUCAAGCUACAA